rnacentral:lncRNA from 1 species
UGAAGUAUAUCACUUUUAUUUUGUAUCCUUUUUAAUCCACAAAAUCUUUACUUAACUUCCUCUCUCUACUCUCUCUAUCAACGUGAUCCGUGAACAGAUGAACGCUCUCCGGCGAGUUUCCGACCGGAAUUUCAGUUUUCCGUUUCCGGCGACCUCCGUUCCGUGAAAUCAUCGGAAGCUUAAAGUUGAGCUUUCUACGUUGUUUUUCAGACUCACAUUUACUCACCUACUACUGUGUGAAACCUACGGCGGUACCUGCGGCGGCGGCAUUGUCAGAUUUUAGCAGAAGCUUUUCAGUUUUUGCUUAUCUCUACUCCCUUCCGAUCUCGAAUUUGUAAGGUAACUCGAAUCAGAUUCUCUUUCUCGUAAUUUUGUUCUCUCUUCUUUUCUUUUUUU